UGGCUUGGAAGCAGCCAUUCAUUUAAAGAGUGCGUAACAGCUCACUUGUCGAGCGACAGGGCAUCGAUAAUAAUCGGGCAUCAAACAUAUCACCGAAGCUUAGAAUUGUAAUUUAUUACACUGGUAGGGGAGCAUUCUAUUCUGCGUUGAAUGGAGAUCGUGAGGUUUCCUGGAGCGUAUAGAAAAGCAAAUGUAGGCAUAAGUAACGAUAAUGCGGGUGAGAAACCCGCACACCGAUAGACUAAGGUUUCCACGGCAAUGCUAAUCAGCCGUGGGUUAGUCAGGACCUAAGGCGAACCCGAAAGGGGUAGUCGAUGGACAAUGGGUUAAUAUUCCCAUACUACCAUACUCAGUGAUGGGGUGACGGAGUAGUGAAAGCGCUGCGAACUGACGGAAUAGUUCGUUGAAGAGUGUAGGUAUUGGCGAUGUAGGUAAAUCCGCAUUGCUAGCUGAACUUGAUAGUACCUUGAUCCUUCGGGAGACGGGAUAAUGCGCCUAAUCAGACUUCCAAGAAAAACCUCUAAACUUAUGAAUAUGGUACCUGUACCGUAAACCGACACAGGUAGUCAAGGAGAGAAUCCUGAGGUGCUCGAGUGAUUCAUGGCUAAGGAACUAGGCAAAAUGGCCCUGUAACUUCGGGAGAAGGGGCGCCAGCUUCGGCUGGCCGCAGUGAAAAGGCCCAGGCGACUGUUUAACAAAAACACAUGGCUUUGCGAAAUCGAAAGAUGAAGUAUAAGGCCUGACACCUGCCCGGUGCUGGAAGGUUAAGGGGGGACGUUAGCGUAAGCGAAGCGUUGAACUGAAGCCCCAGUAAACGGCGGCCGUAACUAUAACGGUCCUAAGGUAGCGAAAUUCCUUGUCGGGUAAGUUCCGACCUGCACG
rnacentral:rRNA from 14 species